AACCACAGCUCUAUACAGCUAUGGAAAGUUCACUGUUCCCAGCUGUACUUGUAUAACAAUCUAUUAGAGGCACAUAACCUACUAAUGUCAAGCAGAAGCAUAACUGAGUCAAGAAUAGCCACCUCAGUAAAACUACUACAUAUUCUUAUACAUUGCCAAUAUAUCCCACUAAAAACAAGGUAUCGUAACCUCCUUCGCCUAACACUACACAAUCAUCAAUUAGUUCUCUCUACCUCUUAAAAAUAAGUACGUCCCUCCAAAAAGCUUAUAGUAAAUAAAAAAAUAAAUAAUAAAAAUAAUAAUAAAUAAAAUUAAAUACACAUAAAAGUAGUUAAUAGUUAUAAUGACAUAUAAUCACUAUACCUAAUUCAAAGUCACUGUUUAUAAUAAAAUAACCUAAUAUAUAAAUAAAAUAAACUAUACUCCUUUGUACUAUCUUAAUGGUCAAUUAUUAAAAUAUAUAUGGUACAAAAUUUACUUCACAAAGUGUUCAUUCAAUACCUACUUUCAAUAAUGAAACCUUCACCUAGAGCACGCAAUCAUCAACUAGUUCUCUUACCUCUUAAAAGUAACAACUCAUCAACAUACGAGCACCAAGCAGGUAUUAACAUUAAAAUUCCUCCACUGAAACUAUCAAGAGCUGCAGAAAGAACACAACUACAUCCCUAUCACGGCAACUGUCUGUCAUUAUAAAUAAUAAUAUUAAUCACAAUGAGCAUAUCACGUGGCUAGCUGCAAGCUUAUCUCACUAGUCACCUACUGUUAUAAAAUAAGGUAUCAAUAUAACAAACCCCUCUGACACUCUCGCCCUAUGCGAGCAUCGAUUCCACUAUCUCUCACCUAAGCAUAAAAAGAUGCAGGAAGGAUAAGAACUACGUAAUAAUAUCUGACGGAUCACCAACCAGAUGUAUCCUACGAGCAAUAUCCCUAUCACGGCAAUAUUAUAAUUGUAAUUAUAAUUAGCAAUACGAAAUAUAA